rnacentral:rRNA from 1 species
AACGAACGCUGGCGGCAUGCCUAACACAUGCAAGUCGAACGAGACCUUCGGGUCUAGUGGCGCACGGGUGCGUAACGCGUGGGAAUCUGCCCUUCGGUUCGGAACAACAGUUAGAAAUGACUGCUAAUACCGGAUAAUGACGUAAGUCCAAAGAUUUAUCGCCGAAGGAUGAGCCCGCGUAAGAUUAGGUAGUUGGUGGGGUAAUGGCCUACCAAGCCGACGAUCUUUAGCUGGUCUGAGAGGAUGAUCAGCCACACUGGGACUGAGACACGGCCCAGACUCCUACGGGAGGCAGCAGUGGGGAAUAUUGGACAAUGGGCGAAAGCCUGAUCCAGCAAUGCCGCGUGAGUGAUGAAGGCCUUAGGGUUGUAAAGCUCUUUUACCUAGGGAUGAUAAUGACAGUACCUGGAGAAUAAGCUCCGGCUAACUCCGUGU